UACGUAGGGUGCGAGCGUUGUCCGGAAUUAUUGGGCGUAAAGAGCUUGUAGGUGGCUCGUUGCGUCGGGAGUGAAAACCUGCGGCUUAACCGCAGGCCUGCUUCCGAUACGGGCGAGCUAGAGUUCGGCAGGGGGAGACUGGAAUUCCUGGUGUAGCGGUGGAAUGCGCAGAUAUCAGGAGGAACACCGGUGGCGAAGGCGGGUCUCUGGGCCGAUACUGACACUGAGAAGCGAAAGCGUGGGGAGCGAACAGG
rnacentral:rRNA from 1 species